AUUGAACGCUGGCGGCAUGCCUUACACAUGCAAGUCGAAUGGUAACAGGUCUUCGGAUGCUGACGAGUGGCGAACGGGUGAGUAAUACAUCGGAACGUGCCCGAUCGUGGGGGAUAACGAAGCGAAAGCUUUGCUAAUACCGCAUACGAUCUACGGAUGAAAGCAGGGGACCGCAAGGCCUUGCGCGAACGGAGCGGCCGAUGGCAGAUUAGGUAGUUGGUGGGAUAAAAGCUUACCAAGCCGACGAUCUGUAGCUGGUCUGAGAGGACGACCAGCCACACUGGGACUGAGAAACGGCCCAGACUCCUACGGGAGGCAGCAGUGGGGAAUUUUGGACAAUGGGCGAAAGCCUGAUCCAGUCAUGCCGCGUGCAGGAUGAAGGCCUUCGGGUUGUAAACUGCUUUUGUACGGAACGAAAAGACUCUGGUUAAUACCUGGGGUCCAUGACGGUACCGUAAGAAUAAGCACCGGCUAACUACGUG
rnacentral:rRNA from 1 species